UCGAACGAGAAAGGGGACUUCGGUUCCUGAGUAAAGUGGCGUACGGGUGCGUAACACGUAAGUAAUCUACCCCAGGCUCUGGGAUAACGUCUCGAAAGGGACGCUAACACCGGAUAGGGUCCUUGAGGCAGAAGCUGCAAGGGGAAAAUAGGUCUUUAUAAGGCAUAUGGACUGGGAUGAGCUUGCGGCCCAUUAGCUAGUUGGCAGGGUAUUGGCCUACCAAGGCAACGAUGGGUAGCUGGUCUGAGAGGAUGAUCAGCCACACUGGCACUGAGACACGGGCCAGACUCCUACGGGAGGCAGCAGUGGGGAAUUUUGCGCAAUGGGCGAAAGCCUGACGCAGUAACGCCGCGUGGAGGAUGAAGGCCUUCGGGUCGUAAACUCCUGUCAGGGGGAAAGACAGCUACGGGUGAAAUACACCCAUAGUUAGACGGUACCCCCAAAGGAAGCCCCGGCUAAUUCCGUGCCAGCAGCCGCGGUAAUACGGAAGGGGCAAGCGUUG
rnacentral:rRNA from 1 species